UUUAAAAAGGAGAAUCUGACAAAGCAAAAGAUUUGGACCGAACUCGAAAGUCUACCAUGUUUCUGGGAAAGCGAGGGGGUCUGAGGCUCCUGCCACUCAUCACAGCGGGGGAAGCAGUCCCAGUGGGUUCGGGCUGCCCUGAUGGUGCCACCGAGGCAAAGAAGUGCUGGUGCAAGCGGGCGGUCUCCUCAGAGUCCUCUCCCCUCGCAAAAAAGAGAUCUACUCUGUCUCUAGGGACCCUUAUGUGGAGCAAAAAGAGAAGUGUCUGCUGUCACUUGGCAAGAGAGAAAAUGAGCCCUCACCCAGUGGCUGAAGGAAGCAGAGACAGACAUCCACAGAUAUACACUGAGCCGAAAUCGGGAAUUUAGUUGAAGAGAGGGAGGAAUGAAGAACGAAGGGGUCUGUACCAGGUUGGAGAAACCCACAGGAACAGUUGACCUGAACAAGGGAGAGCACAUCGACCCCAGAUGCUGUCUGGGAGGCCAGUACAAGACUGAUCCAGACCCCUGAACAUGGAUGUCAAUAAGAAGGCCUCUGCACUCCAGGGAGCCUCUGGUAGUGGAUUAGUAUUUUCCCCUGGUGCAAGAAGGGACUUUGAGAGCCCAUCCCACAUGAAGGACUACACUCUGGCCCUGGACACAUGGGGAAGGGCCCAGGACCAGCACAGGAAGAUUUGGUGGACUUUGCAGAGCCCCCGUUGAGGGCCCUACCCUGCCUGGGGAGUGGUGG
rnacentral:lncRNA from 1 species